rnacentral:misc_RNA from 1 species
CCUGCAUUCUGCCACACGCACGCAUGCAUGCACAUGUUACAGACACCGUCCCCCCCCACACACACACACACAACACCCGCAUCCCUCUUCACUCUGCGUGAUCCUUCCACCGGCGAUGCAGGUCGAGCUCUCGUUUAUCUUUCCACACGCGCUCAAGGAGCUGCCUGUGAGCUUCUUUGUUCCCCUCUCCUCCCAGCGUCCGCGCACCGCGGCGAAUCUGUUCUUCAUGUGCUCAGGGCAGCUGCCCUUGCCAGCGGAGCUGCUUUCUGCUCUGCGCCUGACGGAGGCCGAGGUCGCCUACGCAACGCCUGAUGCUGCCAAGGCGGCUGGCCUGUUGCCGCUGAGCGACUCGGCGGUCGUUCGCAUCGACAAGGCGUCUGUGAUAGAGAUCGGCAGCAGCACCACCAAGUCGAUCUUUGGUGGCUUCAUCCCUGAUGAAAGGGUGACGCUGUCGGCUGGCACAGCCGCGCGUGGGCAGAGCCUUGCAGCUACCAUGUCCUCGCUGAAGGCGGGGACACUCCUGUACGGCAACCUCGGCAUGCCGAACACGCAAGCCAGCCGCUACUACAUUCUUCUCGAGCCUGUCACAACGCCGGAGCAGCAGCACGAGUUCGCCGGCUUCGCACCGCUUGGGAUGGUGACGAGUGGCUUGGCGGAGCUGAAGAGGGCGGCAUCGCAGACGGCGGUGCAGCCACGCACGCUUGUGCCCAAGAAGAAGGUGGUCGUGUCGAGGUGCCGGAUGCAGCUCGACUACACGCACCUGUCAUCCUUUACGGCAGCCGGUGCGUCUGCGCCGCUUGGCGGGCUCUGCGACGGCACCGGUCAAGGCGCUGGAAAGCAAAGGCCCACCGAGUCGCACGAGCGUAUCGCUGGCCGUGUGCGCCGCCGCGAUGACGACGGUCACGAGGCCGAGCAAGCUAGCCCAUGCAGUGCGUUGCACGAUGACGGCAACACCGCCGACCCUGGCGCAGCGCCGUUGCACAGCUCCGGCUUCUUCAAGAUAUCGGCGCGCUUCCCGAAGGCGGUGGCGGCCUCCGGCGCGGGUCCCUCCCUGAAGCGGCGCCGUGCAGAAGCAUUCGUAGUCGGUGAUGACGGCCUGCCGACUCUCCGCACGACGGCGAUUUCACCUGGCGAGCAGGUCGGCGGCGACGGCACCGCCGAACCGUUCGAGUUCUUCAAGGCCCAGCAUGACGCCUUCAUGAAUGACAUUGAAGGCAUCAAGGAUGCGCAGCUGCAGCGAUUUAAUCGUAAAGCCGGAAAGAUCAUGAAAUCCCGCCGGGCAUGGGCAUCGAGCAGCUCAAGUGGGCGGCACGCCAGCUCGCAGCAGCACAGCAGCAGCGGCACACAUGCCACAGGAUCAGGCGCCUUCUCAAAGACUGGCCCGAAAAAGACGAGGCCCAAGCGGUACUGAGCUCUUGAGGGGGGCAUGUGCAUGAUUUGAUGUUGGCAAACUCUGUGCAUCGGCGGACGGCAGCGCCAUUCCCGCAGUGCCUGCUUCUCUGUCCGCGUCUCUGUACCCAAUCAACCAUCACCACCACUACUCUCCCCUCCGUGAGGCGGUGGGUACUACAGCCAGAGAAAGAGAGAAAGCAUGCAUGGAGACGCCGCAGCACGAGGCGAUGCGGCGAAUACACCACGCACCAACACAAGGGCACAUAUACAAGCAGAGACGCCUAAGCGCGGAAGGAGAGGAUGUCGAGGAGCACGCUAUCAUGGCAGGUGUUUUGUUUGCUCUUGCUCGUCUCUCGCCUCUCUGCUGAUACCUAUGGGAAAGUUGUGUCGAUGCUGAUCCUCCUCACCCCACCCCACACGCUUACCGGCCGUGCGUCCACGUAAGACACCUGUGAGCGGGUGCGGGUGGCCAUGUCGCUCUGUGGCCCUGUUAACAUCAUCAACGUAAUACGCUUGCAACGCUCCACAGAUCAGCGGAAAGCAGCAAAGUAAAAUGACGUCUGCUGAGUGGCACAAGUACGUGGUGGCACUCGCGCGAGUGUUUGGUUGCGGAAGGGUGCUUCACUGGCGAACGGGUGCCUGCGUCAAAUGCGCAUGCUUCUUCCCUUCCGCGAGGGGCUUCCCUGGGCCGUUGCAGACCAGCUAGUGCGGAAGAGAGGCAGGAAGCACCAGCUCCGGCAGAGCAGCAGCAGUGGCAGCACGAAAAAAAAAAGACGGAUCAUUGUAAUCUCUCUCUGCGUGCUCGUCAAUGACAGUGCAGGGGCUUGGUGUCUUGUCCGCCACGCACGCGCAAGAAAUGCGCUUCGACGGUCUCUUUCUAUCUCCGGUGUUUUAGCGUCGCACACACCUGUGGCAUGCGCGUUCAUAGCCGCCUGCCCGCUCUCGUCUCAACCUCUCUCUCGCUCUACCUUAUUUGGCAACCAUGGGGCUGCCCUCGGGCACGGAUAUCCGUCGGACGCAUACACACAAACACAACCACGCACGCAUACGCCGAAG